AUUGAACGCUGGCGGCAGGCCUAACACAUGCAAGUCGAGCGGAUGAAGGGAGCUUGCUCCUGGAUUCAGCGGCGGACGGGUGAGUAAUGCCUAGGAAUCUGCCUGGUAGUGGGGGAUAACGUCCGGAAACGGGCGCUAAUACCGCAUACGUCCUGAGGGAGAAAGUGGGGGAUCUUCGGACAUCACGCUAUCAGAUGAGCCUAGGUCGGAUUAGCUAGUUGGUGGGGUAAAGGCCUACCAAGGCGACGAUCCGUAACUGGUCUGAGAGGAUGAUCAGUCACAAUGGGACUGAGAACAGGCCCAAACCCCUACGGGGGGCAGCAGGAGGGAAAUUUUGGCAAGGGGUGAAAGUCUGAACCAGCCACGCCGGGUGGGGGAAGAAGGUUCUUGGAUUGUAAAACUCUUUUGGUUGGGAAGAAAGGUGAUUAGAUUAGAACGUUCCUGUUGUGACGUUACCAACAAAAAAAGCGCCGGCUAACUUCGUG
rnacentral:rRNA from 1 species